GGAGUUAGCCGGUGCUUCUUCUGUUAGUGAUGUCCUUCCUGCCGGCUAUUAACCCGCAGGCCUUCUUCCUCACUGAAAGUGCUUUACAACCCGAAGGCCUUCUUCACACACGCGGCAUGGCUGGAUCAGGGUUGCCCCCAUUGUCCAAUAUUCCCCACUGCUGCCUCCCGUAGGAGUCUGGGCCGUGUCUCAGUCCCAGUGUGGCUGAUCAUCCUCUCAGACCAGCUACGGAUCGUCGCCUUGGUGAGCCGUUACCUCACCAACCAGCUAAUCCGACAUAGGCUCAUCCGAUAGCGCGAGGCCCGAAGGUCCCCCGCUUUCCCCCGUAGGGCGUAUGCGGUAUUAGCCUGGGUUUCCCCAGGUUAUCCCCCACUACCGGGCAGAUUCCUAUGCAUUACUCACCCGUCCGCCGCUCGCCACCAGGGAGCAAGCUCCCCGUGCUGCCGCUCGACUUGCAUGUGUUAGGCCUGCCGCCAGCGUUCAAUCUGAGCCAGAGANAACACUCACAGAGAGGCGGCGCGACGACGCG
rnacentral:rRNA from 1 species